rnacentral:rRNA from 1 species
AUUGAACGCUGGCGGCAGGCCUAACACAUGCAAGUCGAGCGCGCGGCGGACGGGUGAGUAAUGUAUGGGGAUCUGCCCGAUAGAGGGGGAUAACUCCCGGAAAAGGUGGCUAAUACCGCAUACUAACGGAUGAACCAAUACGGGAUGAGCUAGUAGGUGGGGUAAAGGCUCACAUAGGCGACGAUCUCUAGCUAGUCUGAGCGGAAGAUCAGCCACACUGGGACUGAGACACGGCACAGACUCCGACGGGAGGCAGCAGUGGGGAAGAUUGCACAAUGGGCGCAAGCCUGAUGCAGCCAUGCCGCGUGUAUGAAGAAGGCCUUAGGGUUGUAAAGUACUUUCAGCGGGGAGGCGUUACCCGCAGAAGAAGCACCGGCUAACCCCGUGCCAGCAGCCGCGGUAAUAC